rfam:Cylindrobasidium torrendii FP15055 ss-10 unplaced genomic scaffold CYLTOscaffold_89, whole genome shotgun sequence.
GGUAGCGUGGCCGAGUGGUUAAGGCGUUGGAUUUAAGCGAGCCUCGCUUCCCAAUGGAGCAAUCCGCGCGAGUUCGAACCUCGCCGCUACCA